rnacentral:rRNA from 1 species
AUGCACGCUGGCAGCGUGCCUAAUACAUGCAAGUCGAGCGAACAGACGAGGAGCUUGCUCCUCUGACGUUAGCGGCGGACGGGUGAGUAACACGUGGAUAACCUACCUAUAAGACUGGGAUAACUUCGGGAAACCGGAGCUAAUACCGGAUAAUAUAUUGAACCGCAUGGUUCAAUAGUGAAAGACGGUUUUGCUGUCACUUAUAGAUGGAUCCGCGCCGCAUUAGCUAGUUGGUAAGGUAACGGCUUACCAAGGCAACGAUGCGUAGCCGACCUGAGAGGGUGAUCGGCCACACUGGAACUGAGACACGGUCCAGACUCCUACGGGAGGCAGCAGUAGGGAAUCUUCCGCAAUGGGCGAAAGCUUGACGGAGCAACGCCGCGUGAGUGAUGAAGGUCUUCGGAUCGUAAAACUCUGUUAUUAGGGAAGAACAAAUGUGUAAGUAACUAUGCACGUCUUGACGGUACCUAAUCAGAAAGCCACGGCUAACUACGUG